GCUAGCAAUCUUGUGCUUGGUAAUGGAAAGCAUUAUAAGGGACAAAGCUUGUCAUCCACGGCACUGCCACAUGCUAAGUUCUAUCCAAUAAUAGCAUCUAUAACAGCAAAGUUUAAGAACGGUUCAGCAUUGGAUGCACAAUUGUGCAAACUUGGAUCGCUUGAC